rnacentral:rRNA from 1 species
UACGAAGGGGGCUAGCGUUGCUCGGAAUCACUGGGCGUAAAGGGUGCGUAGGCGGGUCUUUAAGUCAGGGGUGAAAUCCUGUAGCUCAACUCCAGAACUGCCUUUGAUACUGAAGAUCUUGAGUUCGGGAGAGGUGAGUGGAACUGCGAGUGUAGAGGUGAAAUUCGUAGAUAUUCGCAAGAACACCAGUGGCGAAGGCGGCUCACUGGCCCGAUACUGACGCUGAGGCACGAAAGCGUGGGGAGCAAACAGG